rnacentral:sRNA from 1 species
CCUUUUGAAUAGAGUGAAGCAGCAAGAGCAAGAGAAAUAAUGUUGCAACUGCAUUUCUCAAGACUGCUGCUAUGGAGAUUUCAAACUUGACCUUCCCUGCCAGGUUCUGCUUUGAAGGCUUACUUAUUACUACAGACAUCGCUGAUAUUAAAAGCAGUUUUAUUGCUCGUCUAAUUAAAUGUUUAUAUUUUUAUUCUUCAAGGACUUAAUUAUGCUAGUUUAAAAGGUGUUUUUGUUUGUUUGCUUGCUUUUAUUUUUGUUUUUUGAUGUUUUUUGGUUUUUGUUUUGGUUCGGGUUUUUUUGAAGGGGGAUCAAGAUUGAUAGAGACCUAAGUUUUUUUAGAUUUGUAGUUUUUUUCCUGGACUUUCCCCCUCCUUUUAUUGUGCAGUUGUAUGAAUUAAUUUUAUAACGUUUAUUUGAUAGUGCUAAAAAAGGAAAUUUUUAUACUGCUAUGGUAGAUCUUGAUAAACUAAAAAGAACUUUUUAAUGUGUUAGAAAACUGAUAAAGCAAAUUAGGAAGCUCGGCAGCUGUAUCUUCUGGGAUGGAUUCUUAUAGCACCUAUUUGGCAACUGUCAAACUCAGUGGCUCGUGGUUAGAAGAGCAAGAUGAAGACAUUUAUGAGGUUGAAUCUCGCGUGCCUUUACCACAUCCUUUUCCUCUUUGUGAACAUUUGGAUGAAAAUAACUCAGUAAUUGUUAAUACGUCUAUUUUCCAUUUUAUUCAUAAAAGAAACGGGCAUAUAUUAAAGCUUAUUUCUAAAAUUUCACUGCCUACCCCUCCUUAUUCACUUGAACAUGCGAAAGUUACACAGACAGAGUUGAUGCGUGAGUCAUUUAGACAGAAACAAGAAGCAACAGAGUCCCUUAAGUGCCAAGAGGAACUUCGAGAGCGCCUUCAUGAGGAGUCCAGGGCCAGAGAACAGCUAGCUGUGGAGCUCAGUAAGGCUGAGGGUGUCAUUGAUGGCUAUGCAGAUGAAAAAACUCUUUUUGAAAGGCAAAUUCAGGAAAAAACUGAUAUAAUAGAUCGUCUUGAGCAGGAGUUGUUAUGUGCAAGUAACAGAUUACAAGAAUUGGAGGCAGAGCAACAGCAGAUCCAAGAAGAAAGAGAACUACUGUCCAGACAAAAGGAAGCUAUGAAAGCAGAGGCAGGCCCAGUUGAACAACAAUUACUACAGGAGACAGAAAAAUUAAUGAAGGAAAAACUAGAAGUACAAUGUCAAGCUGAAAAAGUACGUGAUGACCUUCAAAAACAAGUGAAAGCUCUAGAAAUAGAUGUGGAAGAACAAGUCAGUAGGUUUAUAGAGCUGGAGCAAGAAAAAAAUGCUGAACUAAUGGAUUUAAGACAGCAAAACCAAGCAUUGGAAAAGCAGUUAGAAAAAAUGAGAAAA